CAGGACAUAGACAAAGGGUGGCGGCUGGUGGUUUUAUCUUUAAUAUCUGGAAGCUACAGGAUAUCCUUGCUUUUUCUCUUUAACUUUUCAUAGCAAAUGGAAGGCCAGGAGUUCCCCGCCCUGCAGAUCACUUCUCUGGGCGAGACCCCUUCCAUGGGUUUGUUUCUCAGCCAUGGAGAAGGCUGCUCUGAACCUCCACGAGGAUCUGGGAGGACUGUGAACACAAGGACUUAAGCGAUAAUCAAGAUUUUUGGAAGAGAUGCAAUUUGUCAUUUUCCAGGGCAUAAGCCAGCCUCUCAACAGGAAAGGGCUGCGUGAAACUUGCACCGCUGAAAAUUUUUUUAGGCAUUAUGGCAUUACGCACGGUUCUCACAUGCCUGUCUGUCUGUAGGGAACACGCACCAAAAGAGUGCUGACUACUUCUAUCUUGAGCUUGCCCCUUAUUUUCCAAGCUUGAUCUUGUCCCUGUGGACACCAGGACCUCCUGUUACAUUGCAGAAGCACUUGCUGACUUCUGCCAUAGUGUGCUCUCCAGGUGGCUGAGGAGAGAUGCUGCACAGAUGAGACUGAAGCAGAGCUGUGCUCAGACAAUUCUACGUCUCAUUUAUGCCGGAAAAAAAAAAUAAGUCAAGAGAGCCAUAAAGAGACAGGACAUGGCGAUUGAUUUGGCAUCAGCAGAAUUACGUUGGAGAAACGAGAACAGACUUGGGCCUGCUAUCUUUCAAUGCCAGCAUAACGAGAAGUAAGUCUUAUCAAAAUGAAGAGAUGUACUUCAGAGCUCCCUCCUGCUGCAGCUGGGAGGGCAAAAACCACCUGUCUGCGCUCACACUUCCCCUCUGGGGUGACCGCAGUGGCUGGUGUGCAAAGCGUUUCUCUGGGCUCAGCUGUCUUCUGUGUGAGUCGGCAGCAGGAGGUAAAGGAGUGGAGCCAGCACCCUGACAGAGCUGUGCUGCUGGGCCUGUCCGCAGAGCAAAGCCACGAGGAGAGGCUCGAGUGGCUCUGGGCUGGAGAAGCUUCCUUAGAGCUGCUGGCCGUGUUGGUCUAGAGCUGGAAAGACACCAAGUCUUUGUCCACACCUCUGGAGAGAUGCCAGACCGAGAGGACUUACAGGAAGGCCAAGGAUUGGAGUUCUGGCUUUCUGCUUAUCUACAGCUUCUCUAAAGAUUGUUCUUGGUGCUUCCAUUGCAGAUGUGAGUCUGGGAGGACACUACAGCUGACUGUAGAACUGGCCAACUUUGUUUUCCCUGAUUUAUGGCAGAGAAACCAAGUGGAUCAAACUUCAUCGGUUAAGAAGAGAUCCCUAUAAAACAUUCUGCAUUCUAUUUCUGGUUCGUAUUC